CGGACGGGUGAGUAAUGUCUGGGAAACUGCCCGAUGGAGGGGGAUAACUACUGGAAACGGUAGCUAAUACCGCAUAACGUCGCAAGACCAAAGAGGGGGACCUUCGGGCCUCUUGCCAUCGGAUGUGCCCAGAUGGGAUUAGCUAGUAGGUGGGGUAACGGCUCACCUAGGCGACGAUCUCUAGCUGGUCUGAGAGGAUGACCAGCCACACUGGAACUGAGACACGGUCCAG
rnacentral:rRNA from 1 species